rnacentral:rRNA from 1 species
CACGUAGGGUGCGAGCGUUGUCCGGAAUUAUUGGGCGUAAAGAGCUCGUAGGCGGUGUGUCGCGUCGGCCGUGAAAACCUGCAGCUUAACUGUGGGCUUGCGGUCGAUACGGGCAUCACUGGAGUUCGGCAGGGGAGACUGGAAUUCCUGGUGUAGCGGUGGAAUGCGUAGAGAUCCGGAGGAAGACCGGUGGCGAAGGCGGUCUGCUGGGCAGUUUCUGACACUGAUGCGCGACAGCGUGGGGAGCAAACAGG